GUCUAUGGCCAUACCACCCUGAAUGUGCCGAUUCCGUCUGAUCUCAGAAGCUAAGCAGUGUCAGGCCUGGUUAGUACUUGGAUGGGAGGCCACCUAGGAAGACCAGGUGCUGUAGGCA
rnacentral:rRNA from 1 species